rnacentral:ncRNA from 2 species
UUAUGUAUAGGUAUUCCAGGCGCUCACCAGAGCUUAAAAGGGAACCCCGUGCAAAUCGGGGAUGGGCCCGCCGCUGUAAUCGGGGACGAAUUCCGUAUAAUGCCACUGUCAUGAAAUUUCGACGGGAAGGCACGGAAUGAGAUUGAUCCGAAAGUCAGAAGACCUGUCUGGAAAUUAUUUGCCAU